CCGGUCAUAUCACUCCAGAUGCAGUGAUCUCUUGUCCUGACAAUAAUGUGACGAUUUCUAAAAGAUUUAUGUGAUGAUGUAGCCUCCGAUUGUCGUCGACGUAAUGAUGUCCAGUUCGGUCUACCUCGCUGGAUAUUUCACACCAAAGAUAAUCGACUUUGUGAGGUGGAGAGUUCUCUCCAAACUACAACUCGGAGAGUCGGCGGCGGUAGAUGGGUACUUCAGCUGCCUGGGCGGCAAGGAGAACCAGGCCUUACCAGUAUAGUGAUAGCUGGCCAUUGGUUGUGGUGGCGAACAACGGUGGAUUUCUGGCGGCGGCAAUGGGUGCAUUUCGAUGGCAGUGUUUAAGUAAUUAAUGUGGUGGCUUCCUGAUUAUGUUAAUUAGGCCAUGUGUGCUCUGUUGCUUAGUGUCGGGUUUGCUUUGGCACAGAGAGUGCUUCCAAGUCAACUCCUAUGUUUGAUGAUCUAAGGUGAGCCCUGUCAAUCAUUCCAUUGUUGAAUCUAUGCAGUCAAAACAAGACCUUUCAUAUGUUAGUUAAUUCUUGCUUUCCAUUUUAUAUUUAUAUAGUUUGUAACUUCAUCUAUACUGGCGGAAAAUUUCAGACUUGCAAGUAAGAUGUUCAAGUGUGCAGCUAUAAGAAUAAAGUAGAGCCAAUGUUUUAUUCUUGCUAACCUGGCUGCCGCUAUUACCUGUUUGGUUGCUUGGCUUGGUGGAUUUUUAUGCCCCAUUUCCUAUUAGCUUCCUUAAUUCCUAAAUGUUUCCAUAGUUCAAAGUGAGGGUGCUCACGUCCUCCUCGGCCGUCCUACCUCCGACGACCUCACCAUCUUGAACGGAUCUGAAGCCUACUGUAAAACAGGGUCUUUUGUCAUGUCCGAUACAACAGCAAAUGGAGAUUCUCACAGAGAGCAAAUUUGGUUAAAUAUGAGGCCAGCGCACAGGAUACAGGCUCAGCUUAUGGUUAUGUUAACAAAACAGACAAGAUCCAGCGCUUCUUGAACUUGUCUUCUAUGAGGUCAAGCCUAUUCUAAGAUCUGCAUAGCAUCUGCAUCCUCACUUUGGCCGCACUUGGACAUGAAAGUCCUAUACAAUGUAAGGGAAUAUUAAACAACCUCGCCACCUCGGGUUGUUUUGAGUAGGCAUCAGAUAUGUUUGAAGCAUCCCAGCUUAAAGCAAGGCUAAGAUUCUUGUCAGCAUGUGACUUGAAAUUGCUUUAUGCUGCUGGUACAUGUUUGGUGUCGGUUAAUUUACAAAGCAAGAAGGCAAAUGAAUAAGACAACAACGAGGCAAUAUGUUAUAGUGGCUGAUUUGGAGGAAGGAUUUUAUAUUUUCUAGCUUCCCAUUAUGAUUGAUAAGAACAAUAGAUCAAUUUUCGUAUGGCCAGCAAACACAGGUGUCGAUUGAGCAUUCAACAUUAGCUUGCAGUUCACUGUCAUGGCAAUGAAGCUGCAAUUCACUAGCUUAGCCCUUCUCAUGAGGUAUUUCUUUUCCUUUGACCUGAAGUAGUAGUAAUAGUGGUUCCAUGAGGCUAGGAGGGUUUUCCAAUUAGCUAUCCCUGCCAUAUGAUGCUUUUAUGUAGGACAGAUGAUCAACUUAUGGCGCCCACUGAACUUUAGGAACUUUUAAUGAAGGAAAUUUGGUUUAGAUAGAGGUAGCAAUUUUUGUGAGUUGCAACAUUUUGGAGAAUUGAUUUGGAGUUUUCUUUUUGUCAGGAUAUUUGUUCACUCCAGUUAUCAACUUGCAUUCAGAUGGCUGAGACAUGGUGCCGGAUGCCAAUUUCUUUUGUUUAUAUCAUUUGCCUCAGUUAUUUAUGUAUGUUCGUCCUUGACAAUCUCUACUGUCAGAUGCUCUUGGAGGAUUAUUAUGGGGUUACAAUCAUGAGCAUUUAAUUUAAUAAAUUGCAUAAUAUUCGUGUAGUCAAUCUCAUCUCGCUGCAUAUUGGUUUGUUGUUUGUAUUGUUUCUAUUCGGUUCUGCAGUAGUAUAGUCCAAUUUCU